AAAUGAUGAUGAGGGCAAUUUCUGAGCAUACUUUUAAAUCUCUCCUAAGCUUUUUAGAGAUUCUCUCCUUCUUUCUAUCUAAAACUUAAAAUCUUGCUUCUUCAAUGU
rfam:Capsicum annuum cultivar Zunla-1 chromosome 7, whole genome shotgun sequence